UCAUUAUGUUCAGACUUCACUUACCCAUUUGUCCAGAUGGAGUUAACUGUAGGCGGCGGAUUUCCUGUCAAGAGGGCUGCAUAGGCCGAAAAUAUUGAAGUUUGUGACAUGAAAAAUUGAAAGAGGUCUAGGUUCGUGUGAUUGACGUGGGAGCCUGCGUCAGCUUCUAUCAUUGUUCUAUCUGCUUCGAAAUACCACUCAAAGAAAUGGCGUCAUUUCAACACGAAUCUUCCAUCAUAGACCAGAAAUUGAAUACUAAAUGCAAAACUUUUGUUGGCUUAUGCAACCUUUAAUUGGAAUGGGGUGAUGCAGAAAAGGCCAAGAGGGGGUUUUAAACAAUAUCACCACUUUCAAUUAUGCUUUCCAGAUGCAUCAUCAAUAGGCCAAAACCUCGCCCUCAGCGUUCAUCUUCUUGACCCCUCCCUUCUAGUUAUGGCCUCUAUAACAAAUUCCCCCACUACUAAAAGCCAUUCCUACAGAUGUGCCCAAUACUAACAACCGAAUUUGAAGCUUAUAAGCACCACCCGGGGAAGUGGAUACGACUAACCACAAAAUUCAAGCUUAUAAGCACCACCUUCACAACCAUUAUUGCAUCGCAGACAUCAUUAUAAGGAGACAAAAUAAUGUAGCUAGGGUGCAACCGCAGUGCAAGAUGGGCCAUUGCCGGAGAGCCCGAACCAUAUGGCACCUGGUUGACGUGCAUCUGUCCACGGCUUUGGGAGCGGUAAAUUUCCCGCCAAAAGCAGGGAGUUUUAGGCAUUUGGAGAAUUUGAAGACGAGGAAACAGUUGGAAUUAGGAUGUCGAUAGGUCCAAUGCUUCUUAAACCAAAACACCCUUUUCAUAAUCACUAAACGACGAUCCCAAUUCAUUAUCCAGUUCUCCGUGUGCAAAUAGAUUGGGGAGUGAUUCUCACGACUAUGAAUUUGCUCCAAUGGAGAAAAGUUCAACUUCAGAGUUGUAUCUCUGUCAUUGUUUUAGUCGAACUAUGUCCUAAUCCGUCGUAAUCACUCUCUCUAUCUUUGUGUUGUUCGUUAAGUAGUCCAGGAUCAACUUCAAUUGGAGGUCAGUUCAUUGCGUCAGAUGUAUGAUUGUUUCUCAGACUAAUAUUCGUUGAUAUUUUCGCUCUAUGUAAUUGUAGCAGUUAUAUA